CACUGCCCCAGAAUGCAGCGAAAAACCCGCAGUGGUAAAACCUAUUUUUUCUUGCCUUUGCAAAGCGACCAAAGGAAGCUCUUGCAAUGGCUUAGAAAAAAAGGGUUUACCACGAGGAUUUGUAGCGAAAUGCUGGAUUGGGC
rnacentral:misc_RNA from 1 species